CAUCCAUCUAUCACACGUGUAGACAAAGGGGGACUCCACAACACAAAGCUGGAUGUGCCCUCUCAAACUUUUUCCACGACGCACGGCGACGCGCACAGAGCAAACCACCCACAGGUGGAUUUUAACACCAGAUUAACCAGCAAAGCGUUUUCUCCUGUUGGAGGUUAAGGAAAUGAAAAUAUGUGGAAAUCACAUGGAAGAUGUACAGAGUCACCUAUCAAGCAGCUUUUGAGACGCAGAGGAGGAUUAAGAGACUGUGCAGUUUUCUUUUGGAGAAGGUGAAGACUCAUAAGGAUUUAAACUCCAGCAGCAGCAGCAGCAGUGCCAGGCGGGAUGCGUUUUAUGCACAAUUGGAAAUCUAAAACUCAUGGAGACACUUGGAGGAUUUCAAAAAUGCGUAACAUGUCUCUCCACAAGAACCGCCCCGGCCCAAAGUCACUGGGAUAGCAGGAUAUUGCAUUUGUGGUCCUCCUCGGCCCUUCGCAUGGGUUGUCCAGGACUGUGUUUUUUGGACCGUCGCGCCAAACACUUGCGCACACUUCAUGCUUUUGCUGAGGAGUGUGGGAGUGGUGAGGUCUGGGAGAUCACGACCUUAAUUCUCUCCAAGACAGACGGUUUAAUUAACACUGGAGGAAUCCUAACUGGCUCCAGACCUCUGCAAUGGGAAUGUACAGGGGAAUUGGAUUGCCAAGGUCCUCUCGGCCAUUUAGUAGACUGUGAAGCUGACAGACGAUGCCCAUGAAUGAUGAAUGAUGACUGGAGGUCUGUCUGGUGCCAACAGAAUGCAUAAUACAGCAUAGAUACAGUGAUUCCUGUCCUGCAACCAGACACAUGCUGCAGCUGCUGUAUCAUCUCACUGGCGGAUCUGCCCCCAGCAGAAAAGCGCGGCAGCUUAAAGUGGACAUCCACUGAAAACCGCAUUCAGGUCCCCUUCUCUGUAGUCCACAUUGCGAGAAGACCACCUCACAGGGAUUUUCCCCUUCACCAGGUGUGGCAGAGUGAGAGUCAGAGGGGAAGAUCGCCUGGUCUAGACAGGGCUGUCAAGAGCUACAAAAGAAACCUGCGUGAAAAUGAAGAAAAAUGAAGAGGAGGAGAAACUUGACGGAGAAAAAACACCCCAAAACACCACAACAAAGAAUAUUCACCUGUCAUGAAUAUGAUUAACAGUUAAAUGAUGUAUUUUUUUUCAUAACAUCUAACUGUUCGUCAUCCUUGUUAUCAUUACUCCUUCAACUGCAACUCACUUAUUUAACUUUAAACAGAUGAGCAACAUCUGGUGCCUUUGGAGUCGUAAUUAGAAUUUUAGAAUGUGUAAUCACCGAGGAUUCUCAAGUGUUACUUUUCACAGGGUAUCACUGACUUUAAAGACGUUAGAAAAUCUUUAUUAUUCAUGUUAUUUUCUACGUGUUAUAUGGUGAGACUCAUGACAACUCUUACUGGAGAGUUUGCUCAUAUUUCUCAAAGCAUUAUGUUUACGAUACAUGAGAAAGUGCUGUUUAUUUGCUGUCCACAUUUUGUUCCGCAAUACUGUACAUGAUCUUCUUUAUAUGGGAGAUGGCUUUUGCCUAAUGCUUUUAAUGUAUGCAGAUUUGAGAGUGGUCAGAGCAAUGUAUGCAACUAAGGAUUACACAGCUUUGACAGCCCUGGUGUCUGGUACAAUAACAUAUUCUUGUAUGUGCACUGUAUCUGUUGAGAAGUAACAAUCCCAAUUUGGUCACAGGGGAACAAAGACAACAUUAUGGACAUGUACUCAUACAAUAUGCAAAGCUACGUGGAGAAAUACUCCCAGACUGUACUGCUCUCAUGUGACAACAUACUGUAUGUACAACGUUUCACUUUUAUCAUCGCAGCAUGGAUUAUAAAUGAAUAUCGUAUUGUUCUGUGAAAAAUCUAGGUAAUAUAAUGCUGAAUAAAGAAUUCUAAUGGUUACUCAACAGAGCCGUGAAAACGUGGGAAAAGACUCGUCAUGUGCGACGACAGCGGCAGGGUGGAAGUGGUGCACUGUAUAGAGUACUUCCUCCUUUGCAACAUCAAGAGAAGGAGAGAAUUACUUUUUCUUCCACACCUGUGCUCUGAAGCCCUGUAAGCAGCUUGGGGUUGAGUGGCUAGCUGCAGGUUGCUGUGGUAAUGAUGGUGGUGACUUGAUGAGAUGUAAUGUGACUUACUCCUACCCACCAUGUCUGGCCUUGGCUCUUGAAAAAAGCACUGAGUCACAGACACCAGCGGUGUUUUAAAUGAUAAAGUAAAUGACUUCUUAAGCCUCCCUUUACAAUAUGUCUGUGGUUCACUUACAGCCUUUAUCUUCACAAAUCCAGUUUGACCUGCAAUGAUAGAAACCACCUUUCAGCUGUAAUAACAGGUGUACCUCACUUAUCAUCCAGUAAGCCCUCUGCAAUUAUGUGGGUUCCCUUUUUGACUUUACAGUCCACACAGACAUUCUUUAAAUAAUUUUCUUUUAUUAAACAUCACCAUUUGUUACUGACCGAAAAAAAAAAAUCCUCAUCCUCUCAUAUUCAUUCAUACAGAAAUCAUAUUUUCAGCCAGAGCAGAGGUGAGUUAGCUCUGUUACACCCUGCAGGGAACAGUUUGGAGGCCUCCCUAUCUGCUUCCCUCCAUCUUUGUCUGUGGUUGCUAACCCCAGCUACAGUGGUCAGACAUGGGCCCCCCAUGUUUUCCAUGGACAGUUUAUCACACUUCCUCUCCCUUUGCUCUGGGCCCCCAGUCAGUCUGCCAGACAGGAAAAUCAAAGACUUUGGGACAUAGCAUUACAGUGCAAAUGGUAUAUUGCAUUGCAUAGCAUGCUGAUGAUAUAUGGCCCUAAAGUGUCACAAGUGAAUACGAAACAGGAAGGAGGUCUGAGCUGAGUUAUCCUCACAAGUGAACAUAAAUGCUUGAAUUACACAUUGAAUUGAUUGAAUGUUAGUCAAAAUGAUCCUAUACAUAUUGAAUGGUAUGGAAUUGAAUGGCAGGCAAGAUGAUUUUCACUUGAAUGUCUGUAAAUCCCUUUUCAUCCGAAGUUUAAAGUAUUUAAUGAAUCAUUUGUGGUUCAGUUGAUUUCACUGGCAUUGUAUGGUAUGGAUCUUAAUGUUAGGUUAAGGGAUUUUAUUAUUUUCUGGGGCAUUUUGUCACACUUUCUGUCAGUUUAGCCUGUCUCCAUAGUCAUUCUAUCAAACACUGACAAAAUAAGGGAACAAAGCCUAAAGCAGAACCACAUCUGCCUUCAGCUAUGUCCAACAUCUGGCCCUAUUCCUGCAGCCGCUAUCUGGAUCAUGAUUUGUGGUUGAAACCUGCAGGUUCAAUAAAAAAUAGGAACAUUUUUUUGUGGAGCAAUGACAUUUUAGCAUGCAAACUGUAAUGUGAACAUAGAGCUUGUUAUGAAGAAGCCCUUCUUUUUUCCCCCUGUUUCUGACUUAUUAAUGAUAUUUGGUGUGAGGUAGAAUACUCAGUUCCAGUGAGGUAGUAAACAUGUGCCUGGCAUACAGUCCUUAAUAAUAAACUCAAACUUAACUACAAGUUAGACAAUAGUCUCGUCACUCAAUAUGUUGCCUAUAACUUCUGUUGUGUAGAAAAAGAAAAAGAGCACCAUGUCUUCUGAAGCUUAUAUGUAUGGACAUGCACAUUAUA